rnacentral:rRNA from 1 species
GAUGAACGCUGGCGGCGUGCUUAACACAUGCAAGUCGAGCGAAGCAGUUAAGUUGAUUUCUUCGGAUUGAUUCUUAACUGACUGAGCGGCGGACGGGUGAGUAACGCGUGGGUGACCUGCCCCAUACCGGGGGAUAACAGCUGGAAACGGCUGCUAAUACCGCAUAAGCGCACAGAGCUGCAUGGCUCGGUGUGAAAAACUCCGGUGGUAUGGGAUGGGCCCGCGUCUGAUUAGGCAGUUGGCGGGGUAACGGCCCACCAAACCGACGAUCAGUAGCCGGCCUGAGAGGGCGACCGGCCACAUUGGGACUGAGACACGGCCCAAACUCCUACGGGAGGCAGCAGUGGGGAAUAUUGCACAAUGGGGGAAACCCUGAUGCAGCGACGCCGCGUGAGCGAAGAAGUAUUUCGGUAUGUAAAGCUCUAUCAGCAGGGAAGAUAAUGACGGUACCUGACUAAGAAGCCCCGGCUAACUACGUG